rnacentral:rRNA from 1 species
UGGUCCCGUGGCAGACGGGUGCGUAACGCGUGGGAACUUGCCUGGUAGUAGGGAAUAACCAGUGGAAACAUUGGGCAACACCCUAUACGCCCUGAGGGGGAAAAUUUAUUGCUAUCAGAUAGGCCCGCGUUAGAUUAGCUAGUUGGUGGGGUAAUGGCCUACCAAGGCGACGAUCUAUAGCUGGUCUGAGAGGAUGAUCAGCCACACUGGAACUGAGACACGGUCCAGACUCCUACGGGAGGCAGCAGUGAGGAAUAUUGGACAAUGGGCGAAAGCCUGAUCCAGCCAUACCGCAUGAGUGAUGAAGGCCCUUGGGUUGUAAAGCUCUUUUA